CUGGAAGCUUGGGAUGCUGGAAUCAGGUCACUUCCUGUCUGUCUUUACAGGACACUGGGCUGCACUCUAAGAAAUUCCUGGCUCUCCCCUGGAUCCUGACCAUCAUGUGCCUAGAGAAAUUGUCGACUCUCCUCCGAAGAGGACAGAGCUGCCCCUCGUCUUUCAGCCCAGCUCUCCCAUGUUUUCUCAACACCUCAGCGGGACAAGAAAGACAGAGCCUGCCAGAACCAAGCACGAGCAUGGCCGGAAGGGAGGCAGGUUCACCUGGUGAGUUGAUUGCAGGGCACACGGAUCAGGCAAAAGGCCAAUGGGCAACAGGUGAGGUUGCUGCUGUGAUCUCCUUCCAGUCGACCGUCCCUACUCAGCAGAGACCAGACCUGCCCCUCAUCUCCCAGCCCUGCGCCUGGUGUGUUUUCUCAACACCUCAGUGGAACAAGAAAGGACCGAGCCUGCCAGAACCAAGGGGGUUACAGGAACCCACUCAUUUCCACCUUAGAAGCCGAACCAGCAGAAACCUGGGGUCCUAACCAAGGGUCAUUGGACGCCAGGUCCUGGGUCUGGGGAGGUGGUGUCACCUUGGAGAGUGUGGAAGUGUGCC
ensembl:lncRNA